rnacentral:rRNA from 1 species
GUCAUAUGCUUGUCUCAAAGAUUAAGCCAUGCAUGUCUCAGUACGAGCCAAAUUAAGGUGAAACCGCGAAAGGCUCAUUAAAUCAGUUAUGGUUCCUUAGAUCGUACCCACACUUACUCGGAUAACUGUGGUAAUUCUAGAGCUAAUACGUGCAAACAGAGCUCCGACCGGAGACGGAAGGAGUGCUUUUAUUAGAUCAAAACCGAUCGGUGGCGGGUUCACGCUCGUCAUCGCGCAACUUGGUGACUCUGAAUAACUUUACGCUGAUCGCACGGUCAUCGCACCGGCGACGCAUCUUUCAAAUGUCUGCCUUAUCAACUGUCGAUGGUAGGUUCUGCGCCUACCAUGGUCGUAACGGGUAACGGGGAAUCAGGGUUCGAUUCCGGAGAGGGAGCCUGAGAAACGGCUACCACAUCCAAGGAAGGCAGCAGGCGCGCAAAUUACCCACUCCCGGCACGGGGAGGUAGUGACGAAAAAUAACGAUACGGGACUCAUCCGAGGCCCCGUAAUCGGAAUGAGUACACUCUAAACCCUUUAACGAGGAUCAAUUGGAGGGCAAGUCUGGUGCCAGCAGCCGC